ensembl:lncRNA
CCUACAUCAACCUACUGGCCCCCUACCGGCCCCUACACCUACUGGCCCCUACCGGUCUCUACACAGCUACCACCUACCUACCCUACACAGCUACCACCUACCUACCUACCCUACACAGCUACCACCUAAUUACCCUACACAGCUACCACCUACCUACCCUACACAGCUACCACCUCCACCUACCUACUCUACACAGCUACCACCUACCUACUCUACACAGCUACAACCUACCACCUACCUAUCUUACAUAGCUACCACCUGGGCCCUACCGGCCUCAAAAUGCCUCUAUACCUACCUGACCCAAGCCCUCCACAUAUCUUAACCACUCUACCAGGCCCUACUUCUCCACUUCACACUACUUCUCCACUUCACACUGCAACCUUUCAACUUUCACCAGCGCCACUUCAGUCCCACACCUAGUGACCCCCUCCAGCCCAGAAUAGGCCCCCUGUGACGCAUGCUUGCCUUCCGCGUGUCCUCCUCUUCCUCCCUCCUGUCAUGUCCUCCUCUUCCUCUCUCCUGGUGUGUCCUCCUCUUCCUCUCUCCUGGAGUGUCCUCCUCUUCCUCAAUCCUGUCAUGUCCUCCUCUUCCUCUCUCCUGGCGUGUCCUCCUCUUCCUCUCUCCUGGCGUGUCCUCCUCUUCCUCUCUCCUGGCGUGUCCUCCUCUUCCUCUCUCCUGGCGUGUCCUCCUCUUCCUCUCUCCUGGCGUGUCCUCCCCAACCUACCACUAGAGAGAAGAAAAUAAGCUUAAAGAAAAUAAACUGAGCAGUGACACCGUGUUGACACCGGGUUGACACCGUGUUGACACCGGGUUGACACCAUGUUGACACCGGGUUGACACCGUGUUGACAUACGGCCACAAUUCGUCUUAAUUAUGAACAGUUUUAUUUUUUUUUGUUCUGAUGUAGUGGAGUGGAGAAGAGUGAAUAAUUUACGGCGGUGCAGCUGCUUGCUGUGGUUACUGUGAAUUGGCUGCGGCUUUCUGAAGCCAUCAUAGUGUUUUAUGGCCCCGUCUAUCUGUCUGUCUGUGCCGCCCUCCCUCCUGGCCAGGAGUCUGACACUAACGACUAACGCCGAAGCCUGGAGUUGCCUGGACUGACCGGGUCACAGAGCUCAGCUACACUACAAGUCGCACCAAACCCCCCGACUGAGGGCGACAACAAACUCUCCAUCGAAAUCUCUCGUUCUUUCUGAUUCUCUCUCUUUUUCUCUCUCUCUCUCUCUCUCUCUCUCUCUCUCUCUCUCUCUCCCCUCUCUCUCUCUCUCUCUUUCUCUUUCUCUCUCUCUCUCCGUGGUAUAUAGAGACAGAGGGGCCCUUGUUGUUCUAACUUGUCUGGAUUGGCCUCAUUCUGGGAGUCCUGUCUGGCUUGGCCUCAGCCUGGGAGUCCUGUCUGGCUUGGCCUCAGCCUGAGAGUCCUGUGCUUCUUAUUAUUUAUGAACUGAGACUUUGUGAGUCUAUACCACACCAAGAUGAACAAGGAGGAAGACCAUCCACACUAUACCACACCAAGAUGAACGAGGAGGAAGACCAUCCACACUAUACCACACCAAGACGAACGGGGAGGAAGACCAUCCACACAAUACCACACCAAGAUGAACGAGGAGGAAGACCAUCCACACUAUACCACACCAAGAUGAACGAGGAGGAAGACCAUCCACACUAUACCACACCAAGACGAACGAGGAGGAAGACCAUCCACACUAUACCACACCAAGACGAAGGAGGAGGAAGACCAUCCACACUAUACCACACCAAGACGAACGAGGAGGAAGACCAUCCACACUAUACCACACCAAGACGAACGAGGAGGAAGACCAUCCACACUAUACCACACCAAGACGAACGAGGAGGAGGACCAUCCACACUAUACCACACCAAGACGAACGAGGAGGAAGACCAUCCACACUAUACCACACCAAGACGAACGAGGAGGAAGACCAUCCACACUAUACCACACCAAGACGAAGGAGGAGGAAGACCAUCCACACUAUACCACACCAAGACGAACGAGGAGGAAGACCAUCCACACUAUACCACACCAAGACGAACGAGGAGGAAGACCAUCCACACUAUACCACACCAAGACGAACGAGGAGGAAGACAGACGAUGAUGUUUAUGGAAGAGCUAAAAUAAACAACAAAAAAAAGGGAUUUUCCAAUCAUUUAAAAAGAGUUAAGAAACUUAAUGUACAAUGAUUCCCGAGACAAUCGUGUCCAGAGGAAGUCUUUUUAACUUUUUUGACAAUCCCUUCCUAUAUAAUAAUCGUUUAUUACAGUCGGUACAAAGGUGAUGAUGUUUUCAUUGAAGUCAAAAGGCUGAUCGAGCAACGAUGAUGGUGACGAUGUGUUGAGCUUGUUUUUGAACCAAUAAAACUAACAAACAAACAUAUAGAUGAAAAUGAGAUUUUGUGAUAUAUAACUUGUUUUGUUCAAGACCAAAAGCAUGGAUGUCAAGUGUCAAUGAUCAUUGUGUUCAGUCAGUGAUGUUUCUUCCUCGUACUCUCUCUCUCUCUCUCUCUCUUUCUCUAUUUACACUCAGUAUAGUAUGAAAUAGUGUUAUUUCAGUCACAAUUCAACACAGCGGUUUCCCUCUGAAUCAAGGCCUGGGAUUUAAUCUGCAGCCGUGCGAUUGUCGAAUUCGAUCUCACGAAUGAGGUAGCAUUGGCUUUAAAAGCCGCAUUGUCUACAAGCGCGAUCAAAUUGAAUCCCAGUCCAACACUGUGUAGAUCCAUGUUUCAUUGGGGUAUUUUUAUAUUUUAUUUUAUUUUAAUGUUCACUUACUUGGAAAAGUUGUUCAGAACUUGUUGUGUGGGCAUUUCACUAGCUUGCAGCACAAACCAACCGUGUGUAUUUUAAAGCUAAUGUAAUUGACAUGAUAAUACCAUUGCAUCUUGGGAUAGAGAUGUCUGAUCUGGACUGAGUUGGUAGGUUUUUUAUUUUUAAAUGUUACCCCUCGGUCAGUUCCCAGACUCCGAGCCGUAUAGAGUACCAUUUUAAUGAAUUUAGGAAAAGUUCAGCUUUCAGGAAUGAAAAAGAAAAAAACAAGCUUUUAAAUAGUUUUUAUUAUCUUUUCUACGAGCGCUAUCACAACAACUAUUGUACAGCGUACAUUUUUGUAUGAAGUAGUGUUUUUAUUUAGAAUUUUGAAAAAAUGAUUGUGUUCUUCUUGUGUCCCACCUUUUGAAUUUCUGUAGUUGAAAAUGAAAUUCAUAUGAUGCCCUUUUUUCUGAUAGUGCUUGUUAUGAUAGGACUGUGGACUGAAGUGGUGGGAUGGAUAGGGGAUAACUGUACUGAGGUCUUGUUAUGAUAGGACUGUGGACUGAAGUGGUGGGAUGGAUAGGUGAUAACUGUACUGAGGUCUUGUUAUGAUUGGACUGUGGACUGAAGUGGUGGGAUAGAUAGGGGAUAACUGUACUGAGGUCUUGUUAUGAUAGGACUGUGGACUGAAGUGGUGGGAUAGAUAGGGGAUAACUGUACUGAGGUCUUGUUAUGAUAGGACUGAAGUGGUGGGAUGGAUAGGGGAUAACUGUACUGAGGUCUUGUUAUGAUAGGACUGUGGACUGAAGUGGUGGGAUGGAUAGGGGAUAACUGUACUGAGGUCUUGUUAUGAUUGGACUGUGGACUGAAGUGGUGGGAUAGAUAGGGGAUAACUGUACUGAGGUCUUGUUAUGAUAGGACUGAAGUGGUGGGAUGGAUAGGGGAUAACUGUACUGAGGUCUUGUUAUGAUAGGACUGAAGUGGUGGGAUGGAUAGGGGAUAACUGUACUGAGGUCUUGUUAUGAUAGGACUGAAGUGGUGGGAUGGAUAGGGGAUAACUGUACUGAGAGAUAAAAGAAGAAGAAAAAGCCACUACUUCCCCCGAAGACAAAGGGGUUAUUAAGAACAUACAUACAUGUGCUAUCAACUGUGAAUUUCUUAAGACAGGAACUGCUUCUAGGUCCGUUUCUAUGUCCCCCCCCCUCCCCAACUCCCUCUGCACAUGCUCACUGUUGCUAUGCUGGUGUCGUUGCGGUGAUGACCGAUCUCUUUUCCCCCUGGCAACGGCAGCAAAACGACAUACUUCUCUCUCUCUCUACAUUUGUGAUUUCUCUCUCUCUCUCUCUAAAAGCAACUUCUCCCCCAUAGCUCUUUCAGGGGGACUACAUAUUGCUGCUAGAUUAAGGUAUCAGAUAGGUAGAUAGACAACGGAAAAAUGUUUUUAUAGAAUUCAUACGUACAGCAAAAGACUUGUUUUUAUUUUUAUUAUGUUGCAAUUAUAAAUGCAAAACUGGAAAUACUUUCACUAAUAACAUGGGCCUCGUGGAGGAAAAAACACAAAAGGUUUGUUGUGUCUGCAAAAAAAAAAGAUGUGUACAGAUGUUUUUUGACAUUAUUAUUUGAUUGUGUUUAAAUUAAUAAAAAAUGGAUUUGUGAACUGUUA